rnacentral:rRNA from 1 species
CCUACGGGUGGCAGCAGUGGGGAAUAUUGGACAAUGGGCGAAAGCCUGAUCCAGCCAUGCCGCGUGUGUGAAGAAGGCCUUCGGGUUGUAAAGCACUUUCAGUGGGGAAGAAAGCCUUGGGGCUAAUACCCUCGAGGAAGGACAUCACCCACAGAAGAAGCACCGGCUAACUCCGUGCCAGCAGCCGCGGUAAUACGGAGGGUGCGAGCGUUAAUCGGAAUUACUGGGCGUAAAGCGCGCGUAGGCGGUCUGAUAAGCCGGUUGUGAAAGCCCCGGGCUCAACCUGGGAACGGCAUCCGGAACUGUCAGGCUAGAGUGCAGGAGAGGAAGGUAGAAUUCCCGGUGUAGCGGUGAAAUGCGUAGAGAUCGGGAGGAAUACCAGUGGCGAAGGCGGCCUUCUGGACUGACACUGACGCUGAGGUGCGAAAGCGUGGGUAGCAAACAGGAUUAGAUACCCCUGAUC